GCAUCAGUGGUUCAGUGGCAGAACUCUCACCUUUCAUGUGGGAGACCCAGGUUCGAUUUCCAGCCGAUGAA
rnacentral:tRNA from 1 species